rnacentral:tRNA from 1 species
GGAAGCGUGCCCGAAAAUUAAAGGACCUCCUUGAUAGGGAGGGCUAUAGGGGCUAAUUCCCCUCACUUCCU